UUACAUGAAUUUGAACUUGUCUCUUAUAUACUUGCUGGCUUAAGCAUUGAGCAUGAUCCGCUAGUCACAUCUAUAACUACUCGAAUUGAUCCCAUUUCCAUCGAUGAUCUCUAUGGACAUCUUGUCUCUCAUGA